GCGCAUAAAAUAUUACGAGAAAGGUUUCGUUUGUUGCACAUUUAAGCGCUUCAUAAAAAAAGAGACAGCAAUCAGUCACGUUUCGUGUCACGUACUACUAUAGCUAUAACGCGUGCGCGUUGCUACUAUAGCUUACGCAAUAUGCGAAUUUGUAGCUGUACACACACGUUCAUCUAUUUGCGCAGGACUUCGCAUUACGUAUAAUAUGUAACGCAUUUUCCCUGACGCGCGCUUUGUUGCACAUAUACCCAUUUUCGACGCGCGAGCGAAUAUGUAGAACCCGAAACAGCUAUUAAAUACAAUCCGAUCAAAUUAAUCACCCUGCCGGUCACACCAUUACCGAAUGAAUAUGACGAGGAACUUUGGUAUUAAUUCGGUAUUAAUUCGAGUUAAUGCAGGACAAAACCGUGGAAAUUGCGUACUUUGAAAAAAAUUGCUCUUUACCGAAGUGUAAUAUAUUGCUUGAUGAUGCGAUGAAAUGCUUGGAAGAACAAAAAAAGAGUACAUCUUAGUAAAUAGAUUUUAAUAAAUUUUACCAGAGCGACCGUAUAAACGAGAGUGACAAAACGUUACUGACUUUUGAAUGGAUUUACUUUCAAUUGAACUAUAAUCUAUCAAUAGUUACGAUACGUUAUGAUCAGCCGCGUCUCCAAUAAAGCUAUAUCGAGCGCAAUAACGAACGCGUAAUAGUUGGGCAGGAUCCUAGCUGCCAGGCAAUUUCGAUAUUAAUAUGGACCGGCUGUACGCGUGUACGCUGUGCAAACCCCUGGUACCGCCCUACGUGUCGUAUAAUCAAUGCCAUGUAGUAGGUAGCCAGGUAGUUUCAAACUUUAUGCCGCUGUAAACAGCCAUCUUACAGGUAUCGCAUAAGUAGGUCCGUGCACGUAUGAUAUCGCACGGAAAGCGAAUGUAAUACGAGGGAAACUUGCAAAACGCCGGACUAAGUUCAUCAGCGCCAAAUGCCGGAUAUAAUAUUUGGAGAAGAACACCGUAUGUGCGCGACCACCACGGUACGUUACACAGUACGCGUGAAUAUGUAUGUUCAUUGCACAUUCGCGGUUAAUGAUACGUCCAACAGCGUCCAUUGACACGCGCCUUACGAACGAUCGCUCAACAUUAAUUGUCGGCACAAUACGAGUUUCCACUUUGUUAAUGGAUAUUCGAUCAUCGAAAGAGACUUGAUUGAAUAGAAAUUUCCAUCAGACAGGCAGAAGGGUAUAUAUUCUUGUUAAGAGUACUUAUAUAUUCAUAUUGCAUCAUAUCCAUUUUAAUUACAAUUAUGAAUUUCGCCAAGAUGCAAGAACAUUGUUUUAAUAUUGAACACGCUAAAGGAUCCUUAAUGAAUGAAGCUGCAAAAGUGUAAUUAAAGGAGCGGAAGUUGAUUUUUUUAAAUGCUUAAAAUGAGCUUUGCUCUAAUUGAAAUUUAAUCGGGAAACUAAUUAUCAAGACGACCGGAAAUUGAAAUGCCCGCUGAAAGAAAAAGUGAACUUCGCUGGCUUGAAUAAUCAAUUAGCUGCUUUUUACGGCAGGUUUCGUACGUUUCGCACAGCAACGAAAAACUUGAUUGCACACAAGGCUUCCUAUAUUUUAAUAGUCGAUACUAUGCCUGCCAGAAAAACGCUUUGCGAUCGGAAAAUUCACGUGGCCUCGAAUCGAAGAUCGUCCAUGUGCUUUCGAUCCUUACAUCGUGCAUGCAUUUACAUUAUAAUACAAAUCAAGCAAAAAAGAAAUUUUCUGUUAAAUAUGUCGAUCACACAGUAAUAACGAGUCGUCCAAAGCUAUCGUCAUCUUGUUUCACUGAAUUUGUCCCGCAUGUCGUUAAUUAACGUGUCCGUCAACGAACCAAAUUAUUAGAGAGGACGACACACUGGUUUGAAUCACAAAAUUUAUGCGUACUUGUUUUCCUCUCUUUGUCAUUCACUUCCCCUCGCAUACUAUAAUCCUCUUCCAUUUGUCCAAAUGCAUUUUUUCUUUUCUUGAAAUAUAACAUCGGCCAAAGCGGAUUAGGUAAUGGAGAAACACGUGGUGUACGCGCACACGUGCAGGAACUUUAAACUCUAGCGCGACCACAUACGGUGCGCGAUUCGCAAAGCUACCCCAUUAAGACCCUAUAAGAAACGAGAGGAAUGACAAUACAUCUCGAUAAGAGCUGCAUAUGGAUAAGAAAUUAGCUUCAACUUCGUCUUGCUCCAUCGGAGCCUAUAAAACGUAACGUGACAACAACAACAAAAUGGAAAUAUUCUUAAGAAUAAAGUUUUGAUUAAGCAAAAUGAAGGAAAAAGUAAAAUUAAACAAGAAGUAAAACUUCAUUACGCGCUUCCAUGUACUACUCGCCAAUAUUCCAUCGUUUUUUAUCCCCGCUUCCUUUCAUCUUCGAUUGCAAAAUUACGAUUGAUGAAAGAACCGGCGAGGCUGAAAGGUGCGGAGUGACGAGUUCUAGCGUUUUCUAUAGGUGAUGUCACGGAUCUCGUUAACGAGAGUAGCCAACGGUGACAAGAGUAGAUACAGUAACGGGAGUAACCACGGUAACGAGAAUAGGCGGGAAUUGUAACGAUCCGGGUAAGUUAAAGGGGAAGAGCGCGAUGCGCGCGUGUAUGCACUGUAUUUUCCGGGAUGAAAGAGCACGUCGGCGUGCAAAUAAUCGCAAAGCGGCCGUGUUUGAUGGCCGAUCUCGUGCUUGGAGAACGACGCCUCCCUGAAGGAGGCAGUUGCGCCCACUCGGGAUUACACUUCCGGCAGUGACUGCGAAAAAUAAGGCGGACAGGUAAGCUCCCGGAAAUACCAAAUAGACUGUGUCAAUAUCUGCGUAUGCGAUGCACGUACUCUGCCGCGGGAAACGGGCACCAGCCGGAGAAGCAUCGGCAGCGAGCGAGAAAUUUUCAAGCGUGUUAUGUUUUACUAAGGGCUAUUUGUGUAUUUUAUCCAAAUAUGCGCGUGUGUACACAUCGUGCGCGUGUAUGGGCAGCAAGAGAGUGAAAAAGAAGCGAUUCCGGGUGAGUCGCCAUCGGGAAUUUUGAUAUCCCGUCGUCCGCGAGCUUCGCGGUGCUGUAUCCCUUUAUACCGCGUAUGACAUUUUCAUAAUUUUCCAGCGGAUGAAUACGGUGAAAUUUUAAAAAGAACUAAUCCCUUUGAAAAGUCAAAAUAAAAUAUUCAAAUAAAAUUAUAAAGCUCUUUGCGAAAUAAUGUACAGAGGCCGAAACCUAACGCAUUUUAUGGCUUGGAGUGUUGCACAACGCGCAAUCAAAUUCACAUCAAGGAACUGUGUGCAUGUGUUAUUAAACAUUUUUACAUUUUACUCACAAUCAGACGUAUCUCGUAUCGUAUUCGCGCAUUACAGUCGUAUUUACUGUUGUAAUUGUGUCAUCAAUUAUCUCGUUCUCUCUCAAUCAAAUUUUAUAAAGAGAAGAUUACGAUAAUUUGUAAAAAAUAACGGUGAAUUAGACUUAGUUAAAAAGUGGACGCGGUACGUGGCUUUGACGAAAAAUAUUUCUUCGCCAAGACGCACGGCUGUCGUCGUUACGGGGCACGAGCGCGAACACGCGCGUUAUCACGAUCAUUUUGGCGGCGAUAACGCAAUUCCAUGGUAUGCGAGGCUGCCGCACGUUCCGUGUAAUUGAGCUGUGCCGCCAGUCGUUUGAGAGGCACCGCAUUCCCGUCGGGUUAUUCUUCGGAAUAACACGUCCCUAAACGUCGCGUGUCGAGCUAUCUAAAUCUGCGAUUCCGCCAGGAAACCCACCCCGGCGCGCGAGGGUGAGCUCUGCGUGGAGCGUUGUAUUGCGCGCAUUACCAGCCGAGUGGAAGAGUUCUCGAUUACAUUCAGCAAUCUUCUAUCGAAUGCGUGUAUGCGCGUGUUCAAUUCGCGUGAUACUUCCGAUACCAAUCGAUUCAAAAUUAAACGUCCUGUGGAAACGAUAUGAAUAACAGCUUUGUUUGAAAUAUCGUGACAUAUCGUAAUUGUUUAAUACUAAUAUCAACAAAGAGCUGUAAAUGGACAAGAGAAAGAGAGAAAGAGAGGGAGACUAUGUGGGAUUUACGCAGACCUUGCUGUUCGUUUGGAAACGCAAUAUUAUCACAGUGUGCGUUUGUACAAAGCAUUAUACGCCGAACUUCGAACAGAUGAGAGAAGCUUUCUCCGAUUUAGAUUGGCAUAUCAUUAGCACUACAUGUAUUGUAAUUGAAAACACUUACCCUCGAUAGCGGGAUGGCGCGGCUUGUACGACAUGUCUGGAAAGAGAAAAGGUUAGUGCUGCGAGACGCAUGGAAAUAUAAAUGAACAAAACGUUUAUACAGCCUGCGUUUAAGGAUGAUACAAGCGCAACAUCGUUCUUUAGAUCCAGAAACUAUAAUCUGUGGAGAAAUAAUUCUUGGCCCAUGAAACCCCUUUAAUGAAGAGGUAUCAUGCAGCUGUUGUGAUGUCGAAAAUAAUUACAAGUUUCCAUAUGAAUUUCGAGAGAUCCGCGAAAAACAGAUAACCGAACGGCGAACGUGCAUUAUGAAAGGAACGUGAGAUCAGUGACGCAUUGUCUGUAUGUCGCCGCAGGAUGGGAAUAACGGGAGGAAAUAACUAAAAUUUUUCGAAACAGAAUAUUAAUUCCCCGCUUUUUUAUUAUCGUACGUAUUCUAAACAAAAUUCCGCACGCGGUGAGCGAAUGCAUAUUGCGAGCGAAAGAAAAAGAAAUGCGACAGCUCCACGUUAAAAUCCAGACGCUUAUUCUUCAAAAAAUUCGACUUUUCCUUUGAUAUUUAAAUCUGCGGCGUGAUGUGCGGCUUGCAUUGCAGCGCAGACGUGAUAAAUUUCAGAUACAAUUAAAUUAUGAAUACAUCACUGAGGCAAGUCUCAAAAAGAAUUCCAUAUUAAUUGCGAACGCGUUUUUUGUACAUGAAUCACCGCUGUUUUACGAACAAAUAGUACAAAAAGAAUUCGAGCUGGAUCUCGUCGGACCGUCCGCAAAGAAUACGCAAACGGCGACAGAAUCGAGCUCCGCGUCGCAAACCAAUCAACGUAGCAACGUAUUGAAACGCGCGAUGCGAAUAGCAGAGUGUUAAGGGCGUGCGCGAGUCGGGGGUGCCAUAAAUUUCCAAAUUGGACAUUCGGAAGAGAGCACGGCCAUGUCGGCCAGGACAUCGCUCAAGAUUGCAUAUAUGGUCUUCCAUGUAUACGUAUAUACUGCUGCAGUUCCAGCCACGCGGCGCUGCCAAACCGUCGAUAUGUAUGCAGGUCGACUCUAUGAGAAUUUGUGUACGCCGAUAUCGCACCGAUAUUCCCCCUUUCCGCGGGUGAGACGAGAUACGCCGGGAUGCUGCUGGGUUCGACGCACACGAGAAACACAUGUCGGCCGCUCACACAGGCUGCGAAGGAUCACACACGCCGACUGGCUUGCGAGACGCACAUUCGCAUGUGCGUGCAUACGUAAGAAUGAUCUAUCAAUGGGACAUCAGAGCCUAACCGGAUAUCGACUCGGCGACAGAUAACAUCAAGACAAAAGGAAACAACACAGUUAAAUAAACCUGUUAAAUGACCAUGUUACGGAUUUGUGCACGGAACUUUGCAGAAACGGAAGGCAUACCGGAAGAUUGUAGAAAUCGAUGUUAUGCUCACUCGCGGUUUUGAUAGAGCGCAUUGGAUCCCAGGAAAAUUGUAGGACAGCAAAUAACGAUAAAGAAACAAGAGAAAGAAGUAGAAAGAGAAUAUGGUAACGGUAGAAUUUAUAAGGCAUCAUAUAUGUGGAAAAAGAAAAACCUUAAUUUAUAUUAUGCAUGUAUCAAUUAAAAAUUUCUGCUUUUGUUGAAAUUUGAUUAUUUCCCUUUGCAAAUGUGCGAGAUAAGGUAUAAAUAAAUGUGUUCAGUAUUUCAAUAAACAAAAGAAAAUGUAUAUAUAUAUAUAUAUAAUUACGAAAAAUAUGUAACAAUACAUUCAAACAGUUUCAAAUAAUUAUAUAUCAAUCACAUACAAAUAAGCAAGAAAAUAUACGUGUGAAUCUCAAAGUCACAAGAAAAGAAAAUACAAAAAUAGCCAAUGCUUUGUUCAAGCAAAGAAUCUCAUAAAUCAAAUUAAAGAAAAAUUUCUACUCAUCCGAUUGAUUCCGUGACUUCCAGAUAUCAGUCGCCUUUUUCGUUUUUCAGAUCUGUGCACAAAUCCGCCUUAAUUCUAUAUCGGUAAACUAUCCGCCAGUAACUAUCCGCCAGUGGAUCCACUUAUUUGUUCGCUCGCUACAACGGUCGCGUGAGAAAAGGGUCGAAUACAUCGUUACGCGUCUCGUCGUGCCGAUAUUUGUCUAUCGAUAUUUGAUGCCCGAAUCUUCCCGAGACAAUUGGGCAGAAUUAGCGCGAAGUUUAAACUAGUUUUCUCAACAGCUUUUAUGCAUAAGACGCAACAUAUAUAUUUUCUUGAUACAUUUGGAUAACACUUCGAGUCCAACUAUAUUUUAAUUAUAUAAUUAUAUAAUACAACGUACAACUAUUAUGCAAAACGCAAGAGGAAAUGAAAUAGAGUAUUUGAAAUCUGAGGACAAUCAAAGCGAGAUACUUUAACGUGCGCAAUAUAUUAUUCGGCGAUAUCGCACGCGGUUAAAUUUAAGCGUACGUAAAUAUUCGAUGCACGCAUGAUAACGUACAUUUUAGAACGAUUGAACGCGUUGAAGUGCAGUGCGCGUAAUUCGUACGCUUACAUCGCACGCGCGCGCGCUUUAUCGCGAUUCAUGAACAUAAUGUCUCAUAUAUCAGGGCUAUUUUCCGUGGAAGGGUUUCACGCGUGGUGCACGCAGACGCUAUUCCUCAUCGCCCCUUUUUUGCAUUCGACAGCGACGCGAGGGUCGUGAAAUCUCGCCAGAAACGGCGGUGUAGCACUCUCGACUUUCUGUUUCCUCGUCCGAGAGCGAAUGUACAUGGAACAUUGUCUAUCUGCCAAGUAGAUGAAGUCGCUAUGUGGCAUAUACCGAAGAGAAUAUUACACGGAAUGAGAGAACCAUAAUACUACAAAUGAAAUUUUACCCGCCUAGUUUAAGUAAAUUGUACGUAUACAAGCAUGGUCUAGUUCCCUCAAGCCUUAAAAAUAUAAAAAAAUGUUACGAUAAUAAUUUUAAUAAUGCGAUACGUGAUUAUUCAAGUAAAGAAGAAAGAGAAGACUGCACGAUGGACAAUUGUACCAUUAAAAUUAAUCAGACGCUAUUAUUAAAGAGUAAACUGUGUCGUUUUGAAUUAUUUAAGUUGCGCACGACACAAAUGAUGGAAAUAUAUUAUACAUGUAGUUUCGGAUCGAAACAAGAGACUUUACGUAUGUACAUAUUACCACAUUGCCCGAUAAGUCGAUAGCUUGCUGUUGCCAUAAAAAGAUAUUGUAUCGAACGGUGUAUCUUCAUCUACCUACAGUAGUGAUAAACAAUAUGGGUAUAUUUACCCUCUUUCGGUCUAGGAACACUCUUGUGAUAAGGACGCGCCGUAUUUUCUGCAAGUGCACUUUAUUUUGCGUAAACAACGGUAUCUCUUUAUCGCACGUGCUAGUAAAAUGCACGCCAUUCCGUGAAAAUUGUGGAGCGUCGCGCGAUGUAAAUGUAAAUUGCGCUUCACGCGUGCGGGUAAAAAUAUCUUCGUUUACGGAGAUGGCAUUUAGUAUCGCAACAACAGGGACACCGCGUUUAUUUAUUAGCGUGUCCUGCGAAAAAUUUCGCAUUUUUCUAGAGCGACACGUGCGUGCGUGCGCGGAUAUUCGGACGAUCCGAAGGUUCGAUCCGAAAAUUUGACACCUUCGUAGCACAUUCGCAGCGCGGAACGCAGAACGCGAAUUUGUGUUUGUCUGAACCGAGAUUAGCCGCAGCUACAAUGUGUCCGCAACCAACUCGAUCAAUAGAUGCGUGUCAGUCACGUUUCCGCGGCCUCAGUUAGGAGGACGAGGUAGGUCGACGUUCACUAUGUGUCUACGAGCAAUUGGAUCACAGCUGGCUGAUCAAUCCGGUUAUCUUCUUGUCGCGAUAUCAAACCGAUCGUGAGUAUCGCGGAUAUCCGAUACUGUCGAUAUCCGUCGAUACCUAUGAAGGUGAGGUUGCGUUGCAAUCUUGGGAUCGCAAAUCAGUUCGAGAGAGCGGGUUGUUUGAAAGACGUCAUGCGGCCCUUCGUAAUGCCGUUUGCAAUUACUUGUCCCUAAUAACUUUGUUUACAAUUAUGACGCAAACUCUCCCGAUAUCCUGUAUACGAAAUCAUUGAGAAGGAGGUCUGAUUAGCUUUAGUAACGUUUACUGUCAAGGAUCUGUCAUGUGUUUGUGCGCUUUACGAACCUAUCGAACUGUUUGCGUCCAACGUUGCGCGGAUUACGGGAUCGCGAGUCCGCUUCUCGCGGUGCUUCGUAGAUGAAAUGUCACUUUGAUGCAAAAGCCAUGCAUUGUCGACGAAAAGUGGCACGUCAGAUAUGAUCUCUUGAUACUUUACGGUAUUCCAGGCGCGUACAUACACGUGCGAAAAAAUGCAAAAAAAAUAAAAAAUAAAUUUGCGGUGUACA
rnacentral:lncRNA from 1 species